rnacentral:rRNA from 1 species
UACGUAGGUGGCAAGCGUUGCUCGGAAUCACUGGGCGUAAAGAGCUCGUAGGCGGCUUGUCACGUCGGGUGUGAAAGCCCGGGGCUUAACCCCGGGUCUGCAUUCGAUACGGGCUAGCUAGAGUGUGGUAGGGGAGAUCGGAAUUCCUGGUGUAGCGGUGAAAUGCGCAGAUAUCAGGAGGAACACCGGUGGCGAAGGCGGAUCUCUGGGCCAUUACUGACGCUGAGGAGCGAAAGCGUGGGGAGCGAACAGG